CCUCACCAGAUCGGCACAAUCUUCAGACAGCACGGCUUUUGGCCUUACUACCAUUACAAAACCUGGAGCUCAAGGAUAGAAAGGGAGCCCUAAAUCCGCCGGCAGAGAAGGCAGCUGACAGCCCCCAGCCCCGCGAGAGGGGGGGCACACCCGCUGCGGGACCCAUCUCUGCUUAAUGGAGGGGGUGUCAUCCCCGGUACCGCAUCGCAUCCCGCAUCCCGGAGAGGCGGCGGUCGCCGCGCACCCCCACCCUUCUCCCCUACCUUCUCCUGAGCCCGGGUCAGCUUCUUCUGGACGUUACUCGCGAUUUUCCCGGCGGUGACCCCCUUGCUGCCCAGCUCAGCCAUCUUGCCUCCUCUUUUUUAACGGGCUGCUGGCGAACGACGGGCCGGCAGGAAAGGAGGGGGGGGGGGGGAAGAAG